GACGAACGCUGGCGGCGUGCUUAACACAUGCAAGUCGAGCGGUAAGGCCCUUUCGGGGGGUACACGAGCGGCGAACGGGUGAGUAACACGUGGGUGACCUGCCCUCAGCUCUGGGAUAAGCCUGGGAAACCGGGUCUAAUACUGGAUAUGACUCCAUGACGCAUGUUGUGGGGUGGAAAGCCUUGUGCGGCUGAGGAUGGGCCCGCGGCCUAUCAGCUUGUUGGUGGGGUGAUGGCCUACCAAGGCGACGACGGGUAGCCGGCCUGAGAGGGCGACCGGCCACACUGGGACUGAGACACGGCCCAGACUCCUACGGGAGGCAGCAGUGGGGAAUCUUGCGCAAUGGGCGAAAGCCUGACGCAGCGACGCCGCGUGA
rnacentral:rRNA from 1 species